rnacentral:rRNA from 1 species
GACGAACGCUGGCGGCGUGCUUAACACAUGCAAGUCGAGCGGUAAGGCCCCUUCGGGGGUACACGAGCGGCGAACGGGUGAGUAACACGUGAGCAAUCUGCCCAUCACAUCGGGAUAACUCCGGGAAACCGAAGCUAAUACCGAAUACGACCACCUCCGGCAUCGGAUGGUGGUGGAAAGUUCCGGCGGAGAUGGAUGAGCUCGCGGCCUAUCAGCUUGUUGGUGGGGUAACGGCCCACCAAGGCUUCGACGGGUAGCCGGCCUGAGAGGGUGACCGGCCACACUGGGACUGAGACACGGCCCAGACUCCUACGGGAGGCAGCAGUGGGGAAUAUUGGACAAUGGGCGAAAGCCUGAUCCAGCAACGCCGCGUGAGGGAUGACGGCCUUCGGGUUGUAAACCUCUUUCAGCAGGGACGAAGCGCAAGUGACGGUACCUGCAGAAGAAGCACCGGCCAACUACGUG